CAGUAGCCGCGGGAAUACAGAGGAUGCAAGCGUUAUCCGGAAUGAUUGGGCGUAAAGCGUCUGUAGGUGGCUUUUCAAGUCCGCCAUCAAAUCCCAAGGCUCAACCCUGGACAGGCGGUGGAAAAUACCAAGCUGGAGUACGGUAGGGGCAGAGGGAAUUUCCGGUGGAGCGGUGAAAUUCGUAGAUAUUCGCAAGAACACCAGUGGCGAAGGCGGCUCACUGGCCCGAUACUGACGCUGAGGAGCGAAAGCGUGGGGAGCGAACAGGAUUAGAUACCCCGGUAGUCCCUGUCUCUUAUAC
rnacentral:rRNA from 1 species